rnacentral:tRNA from 1 species
AUAAUAAUGGCAGAACAAUAUUGCAAAAGACUUAGAAUCUUACUAUCCUUAUC